rnacentral:rRNA from 1 species
AUGCGAAAAAUCCCGACUUCUGGAAGGGAUGUAUUUAUUAGAUUAAAAACCAAUGCGAGUCUUCGGGCUCGUUUUCUUGGUGAUUCAUGAUAACUUUUCGAAUCGCAUGGCCUAGCGCCGGCGAUAUUUCAUUCAAAUUUCUGCCCUAUCAACUGUCGAUGGUAAGGUAGUGGCUUACCAUGGUUAUAACGGGUGACGGAGAAUUAGGGUUCGAUUCCGGAGAGGGAGCCUGAGAAACGGCUACCACAUCUAAGGAAGGCAGCAGGCUCGAAAAUUACCCAAUCCCAACUCGGGGAGGUAGUGACAAGAAAUAACGAUACGGGGUCUUAAUAGGUCUCGCAAUUGGAAUGAGUACAAUUUAAAUCCUUUAACGAGGAUCAAUUGGAGGGCAAGUCUGGUGCCAGCAGCCGCGGUAAUUCCAGCUCCAAUAGCGUAUAUUAAAGUUGUUGCAGUUAAAAAGCUCGUAGUUGGAUUUCGGAGUGGGCCAGUUGGUCCGCCGCAAGGUGUGUUACUGACUGGUUUGCUCUUCUUCGCAAAGACUGCGUGUGCUCUUUGUUGAGUGUGCGUAGGAUUUACGACGUUUACUUUGAAAAAAUUAGAGUGUUCAAAGCAGGCUAUUGCUUGAAUACAUGAGCAUGGAAUAAUGGAAUAGGACUUUGGUCCCAUUUUGUUGGUUUCUAGGACCGAAGUAAUGAUUAAGAGGGACAAUUGGGGGCAUCCGUAUUUCGUUGUCAGAGGUGAAAUUCUUGGAUUUACGAAAGACGAACAACUGCGAAAGCACUUGCCAAGAGUGUUUUCAUUAAUCAAGAACGAAAGUUAGAGGAUCGAAGACGAUCAGAUACCGUCCUAGUUCUAACCAUAAACGAUGUCGACUAGGGAUCAGCGGGCGUUAUCGUACGACCCCGUUGGCACCUUACGGGAAACCAAAGUUUCUGGAUUCCGGGGGAAGUAUAGUCGCAAGUCCGAAACUUAAAGGAAUUGACGGAAGGGCACCACCAGGAGUGGAGCCUG